UCCCAGGGAAAGAAACAGUUACAUGUCUAAUUUCUCAUCCUAGUUCCAGAGCCUGUGAAGCCCCACAGGGCUGGCUAGGGGAGAGCUGGGGAGUUCCAGAAGGAACCAUCUGAGAGAU